rnacentral:piRNA from 1 species
UAAGAUGUAAGAUGUUGUCAC